rnacentral:rRNA from 1 species
UAAUGCGUGACCAACCUGCCCCAUGCUCCAGAAUAGCUCUUGGAAACGGGUGGUAAUGCUGAUGCUCCAACUUGACGCAUGUCUUGUUGGGAAAGUGUUUAGUGGCAUGGGAUGGGGUCGCGUCCUAUCAGCUUGUAGGCGGGGUAAUGGCCCACCUAGGCUUCGACGGGUAGCCGGCCUGAGAGGGCGGACGGCCACAUUGGGACUGAGAUACGGCCCAGACUCCUACGGGAGGCAGCAGCC